ensembl:lncRNA
UGUGGAGCAGGCUGUGGGCAGGGAAGGGAGGUGAGAUGCACCAGCUCAGUCCACCAUCACUGGGAAUCCACUCCAAGCACGGGAAAGCAGCCAGCCAGGCAGAGCUGCUCCCCGGGACUGAGGAAGGGCUCCCAUUCUGUCUUUGUAGAUUCCUGGCACUGGGUCUGGAACGAUUGUGUCCUGUUCGCUGUGCGAUGUUCUCCAUCCUCUGCACAAAAGAAGCCAGAAGAGGGAUCAGACCUCCUGGAACUGGAGUUACAGAUGGUUGUGAGUCACCAUGUCGGGGCUGGGAACUGAACCCAGAUCCUCUGGAAGAGCGUCCAGUGUUCUUAACUGCUGAGCCACCUCUCUGGCCCCUUCGCAGGUCUGCAGCCCACAGAACGGUGCCAUCCACAUCCAGGGACAAUCUCCCUACCUCAGUUAACCCGCUCUAGAAGCCCCCUCACAGACACGCACUGAGGCUGGUGCCCUAGCCUGGCUCCCUCCUGCUUCCCCUGAAUUCUAGAAAGGACGCUGGGCUGCUGGGCCGCCAGCUGCCUGCUGUUCCUCCUGAUUCAUCGCAGCCCAGGUUCUGGCCUCCUGCACAGAAGCAACCCCAGACUCCAGAACUCCAGACUCCAACCCCAGAAGCACGUCCUGACUCGGCUGGUCAGACGUCCGGUGCUUGAGAUCAAAUCCCAACCCCAUCGCUGUUUUGCUGUGAGAUGCUGGGGAGAGUGGGGUGUGUGGAGGAGACUAGAAGACAGCUGAUUGUGAGCUCUGCAGCUUGGGAGUGUGACUGUGGGAAGGUGACUUCAAGGAUGGGUGUCGCCAACCCCACCCCUUGCCUGCUCUUUUGGUUCUAAAAGGCCAGCCAUCAGAGACCACCGCAGCAGCAGCAGCAGCCCUAGGAAGUGGUGACAGACAGACUCAUGGGCGCAUCUCCUCCUCUCUCUUGCACUCUUUCACGGGCUACUCUACUCGCAAGUCCUGUGCUGGAAGCUGCAAGGUCAGUAGGAAAAAGGCACAAGGCUUUUGUUUUUUGGCUUCCGGUACUCCGGGCUUUACUCUAGGGCCCUGCGCUGGCUGCUGGGGCCAGAGUUGAUGUUGGAAGCUGGCAGCAGAGCCUGGGGUUGUGAGCAGCAGAGAGGGAGGUUGCUGCCUCGCCACAGGUGCGAUGAUUGCAGAAGUAACUCUCCUUUCCGCUCCCCUCUGAGAAGCCGUCUGAGGGCUGAAGGCUCGGUGGGCUCUAUAGGUUGCUCGUGAACAUCAAGGACCUGGGGUAGGCUGAAUCGCCCUAAGUUAUCUCUUCUAUAAGUGUAUUGUGUCGGUUGUGCAUCCUUACCUGAAUACGAGGGUUAGAUGUGUUCUGGAUUUCAAGUUUUCCAGUUUUAACCUAUUUGCAUAAACUCAGCCGGUUAGGCACCGCCCCCAUCUGCAGCUACAGAGCCCACAGCACUCGCGUCGGAGGCCAAGGGCUCAGCCUGAGUGAGCGUCACCAGCCCCGCCCCCCAGCUCCAUCCGGUACAUCUCUGACUCCUCUCCUUCCGUGGACUGGUAAUUGGAGGGAGGGUUCCAGCCGUGAUAGCUCAGCGGAGUUGGAACGCCAGCUUUCUCAUCAGCUUGUUCAUAUAAAUUGGUGAGCUCUGGGUUCAGAGAGAGACCAUUACUCCAAAAAUGAGACGAAGAGUGGGAGAGAUGGAUGGGGCGAAUGAGCUCACUGCCAAGCCUAGAGACUUGUGUUUUAUCCCUGGGCUUCUCAUAGUAGAAGGAGAAAUGACUCACCAGUUGUCCCUCUGACUUCCAUCCUUUUGCCUUCCCAACCGUAAAAGGGGAGAUGUGAUUGAAAAAUAGGACUGACAUCCACCUCUGGUCUUCACAUACAUAUAUGUACACAUGCACACGCAUGCAUACACACAGAUACAUGCACAUGCAUGCACGCGUGGGACCACACACUCACACAAAGAAUCCCUUACAUUAGCCUCUGUCCUGAUACGUUUUGUUUGUUUGUUUGUUUGAGACAGGGUCUCAUGCAGCCCAGGCUGGCUUCUGACUCACUGGGAAGCAGGGUUUAGCCUCAAACUCUAAUCCUGCCUCCUCUGCCUCUGAAGUGUUGAGAUUCAGGUGUUCACACACAUGCCUGGCUUUUCCUGAUCGUGUUUAUAUCCUGCCUGGAAAGCUGACAGACGGUACAGACGUCAUUCCGCUUCACAGCAGGAGAAAGCAGACCCUGGACAGAGUUUGGGUUACAGGUCUGAGUCUGGGGCCCAGAACCCUGCUUUAGGCUCUGCCAGGCUGGGUUGAUUUUUGGAUUGAAGGAUCCUUUUCCUUGGAAAGUCAUGACAUGAGCAAGGGAAGCCAUUACGACAUAAGGGUGGUCAUAGAAAGACAGGAUUGUCUGUCUUUCUUCCAGGGGCAAGUUCCAGCUCCCUGAACAGUUUACACACAUGCGUACGCAUGCACACGUGCAUACACACACACAAACACACGCAUGCACGCACAUGCUUUGGGAUCGGAUCCAUUCCUGGGAGAGUGUGUGCAUAUCGGCUGAGUUUGGCACCCCUGGUGUUUGUUUCUUCUGCUGCUGUGUGCUCUGUCUUACAUGUGUUCCCACCAUGAGAUGCUACUUGUGUGAGACCCUCACUGGAGGCUGACAGGGUGAUGUGCUCCCAGACCUCCAAAACUUGAACUAAAUAAACC